rnacentral:lncRNA from 1 species
CAAUUUUUCUGUUUUGGGUUGUGACAUCUAUCUUUGCUUAAAACAUUUGGCAAGUGUCAUUGCCUUUCAAUGUUCAAUCACAAACUUCUUCAUUUUGGUGUAAUUAGAUUAACUGUGGAAAUCAAUCCAAAAAUUAGAGAUGGUAUUGUUUUAUAUUUGGAUUAUGCAUGGAUCUGUAAAUUCGGGUCGAUUCUCCUCAGUUUUGAAUCAUGGUACAGAGUUGAGUAACUCAUGGGAUUUCAUGGUACUGGAAUGGUACUGUUUCUAAGGCCAAAUAAUUGCAUUUUGAUUAUGGUGAUCAAACUCUUAACGCCACCCUAAGAAAAAUGUGAAGAGUGGC